GACGAACCUGAUGACCAUGAGGCUGCACCUCUCUUUGUUUGCACAUAGAAACAACUUCUAUGGUCUACAUUUGCACCUGUAUGUUUUCCCACCAACAACCAGGAGUCUGACAGCGAAGUGUGCGGGUGUUGUUGCAAAACCACUUCAACAGAAAUUUG